rnacentral:rRNA from 1 species
AGAGUUUGAUCCUGGCUCAGGAUGAACGUUGGCGGUGUGCCUAAUACAUGCAAGUCGAACGGAGUUAAUAGCAAUAUUGACUUAGUGGCGAACGGGUGAGUAACGCGUUGGUGAUCUGCCUCAAAGUGUGGAAUAACGUUCCGAAAGGAACGCUAAUACCGCAUGUGCUCUCGAUUUUUAGAAAGUUGAGAGUAAAGGAUUUAUUCGCUUUGAGAGGAGCCUGCGUCCCAUCAGCUAGUUGGUAGGGUAAUAGCCUACCAAGGCUUUGACGGGUAGGGGACCUGAGAGGGUGGCCCCCCACAAUGGAACUGAAACACGGUCCAUACACCUACGGGUGGCAGCAGUAGGGAAUAUUAGAAAUGGACGAAAGUCUGAUCUAGCGACACCGCGUGUGCGAUGAAGGCCUUCGGGUUGUAAAGCACUUUUUGGAAGGAAUAGGAAGGAAGGUACUUCCAGAAUAAGUCUCGGCUAACUACGUGCCAGCAGCCGCGGUAACACGUAGGAGGCAAACGUUAUCCGGAUUUACUGGGCGUAAAGCGCGUGUAGGUGGUUUUGUAAGUAGGGCGUGAAAGCUCCUGGCUCAACUGGGAGAGGCCGUUCUAAACUGCAGAACUAGAGGAUGGUAGAGGGAGGUGGAAUUCCAGGUGUAGCGGUGGAAUGCGCAGAUAUCUGGAGGAACACCAGUGGCGAAAGCGGCCUCCUGGACCAUUCCUGACACUCAGACGCGAAAGCUAGGGUAGCAAACAGGAUUAGAUACCCUGGUAGUCCUAGCCCUAAACGAUGAAUACUAGGUGUUGGAGGAUUCACUCCUUCAGCGUCGUAGCUAACGCGUUAAGUAUUCCACCUGGAAAGUACGGUCGCAAGGCUGAAACUCAAAGGAAUUGACGGGUACCCGCACAAGCAGCGAGGCAUGUGGUUUAAUUCGAGGCUACACGAAGAACCUUACCUGGGCUUGACAUGUUGCUGAAGAUCUAAGAAACUAGAUCCCUUUUCAUAGCAAUAUGGAAACAGUUUCACAGGUGGUGCAUGGUUGUCGUCAGCUCGUGCCGUGAGGUGUCGGCUUAAGUGCCAUAACGAGCGCAACCCUUAUUUUCAGUUACUAACAGGUGAUGCUGAGGACUCUGAAGAGACUGCCAGCGUAAGCUGUGAGGAAGGUGGGGAUGACGUCAAAUCAGCACGGCCCUUACAUCCGGGGCGACACACGUGUUACAAUGGUAAGGACAAAGGGCAGUACCGGGCGACCGGAUGCUAAUCUCUAAACCUUAUCUCAGUUCGGAUCGGAGUCUGCAACUCGACUCCGUGAAGCUGGAUUCGCUAGUAAUCGCGCAUCAGCCUAGGCGCGGUGAAUACGUUCCCGGGCCUUGCACACACCGCCCG